rnacentral:rRNA from 1 species
CUUAGUGGCGGACGGGUGAGUAACGCGUGGGUAACCUGCCUUAUACAGGGGGAUAACACUUAGAAAUAGGUGCUAAUACCGCAUAAGCGCACGGGGCUGCAUGGCCCAGUGUGAAAAACUCCGGUGGUAUAAGAUGGACCCGCGUCUGAUUAGCUUGUUGGCGGGGUAACGGCCCACCAAGGCGACGAUCAGUAGCCGGCCUGAGAGGGUGAACGGCCACAUUGGGACUGAGACACGGCCCAAACUCCUACGGAAGGCAGCAG